rnacentral:piRNA from 1 species
UGCCAGGGCCUUGAAGUGCUUCUUCAGAGA